rnacentral:rRNA from 1 species
UACGGAGGGUGCGAGCGUUAAUCGGAAUUACUGGGCGUAAAGCGCGCGUAGGCGGUUUGUUAAGUCAGCUGUGAAAGCCCCGGGCUCAACCUGGGAACUGCAGUUGAUACUGGCCGACUGGAGUGCGAGAGAGGGAGGUAGAAUUCCAUGUGUAGCGGUGAAAUGCGUAGAUAUAUGGAGGAAUACCGGUGGCGAAGGCGGCCUCCUGGCUCGACACUGACGCUGAGGUGCG